rnacentral:rRNA from 1 species
GUGGGGAAUCUUGCGCAAUGGGCGAAAGCCUGACGCAGCCAUGCCGCGUGAAUGAUGAAGGUCUUAGGAUUGUAAAAUUCUUUCACCGGGGACGAUAAUGACGGUACCCGGAGAAGAAGCUCCGGCUAACUUCGUGCCAGCAGCCGCGGUAAUACGAAGGGGGCUAGCGUUGCUCGGAAUUACUGGGCGUAAAGGGCGCGUAGGCGGACAGUUUAGUCAGAGGUGAAAGCCCAGGGCUCAACCUUGGAAUUGCCUUUGAUACUGGCUGUCUUGAGUGUGGGAGAGGUGAGUGGAACUCCGGGUGUAGAGGUGAAAUUCGUAGAUAUUCGGAAGAACACCAGUGGCGAAGGCGACUCACUGGCCCAAUACUGACGCUGAGGCGCGAAAGCGUGGGGAGCAAACAGGAUUAGAAACCCCGGUAGUCC